CCACAGGGAUGAUUUGAAAGUUGAACUCUCUCUUUCUGAUGGUGUAGUGGAGAGAAACUGAGGAGUCUGAGUAGC